rnacentral:misc_RNA from 1 species
GAUGAAGAACGUAGCGAAAUGCGAUACUUGGUGUGAAUUGCAGAAUCGCGUGAACCAUCGAGUCUUUGAACGCAAGUUGCGCCUCAAGCCAUUAGGUUGAGGGCACGUCUGCCUGGGCGUCACAUAUCGUUGCCUGAUGCCAGUUUCCUCGUGAUGGGUGACUGUGCAGGGCGAAUGAUGGCUUCCCGUGAGCAUUGUUGCCUCAUGGUUGGUUGAAAAUUGAGUCCUUGGUAGGGAGCGCCGUGAUAGAUGGUGGUUGAGUGACGAACGAGACCCAAUCAUGUGAGACCCCUACCGAAUUUGGCCUUCAUGCCCCACAUGCGUCUUUGGAACGCUCAUGACGAGACCUCAGGUCAGGCGGGGCUACCCGCUGAGUUUAAGCAUAUCAAUAAGCGGAGGA